UUCAUUAUAUUUGGGAACAAAACUACAGAGUAAUUGAAAGAGAGAACACAAGAUUCUAAGAAAAUUGGGUGAGUUGAUGUAGACAUUUUUAUGGAUAUUGAUUAUAACUACAGUGUGAUAUUCGAAUUGAGGGACAUGUUCAUAUGGUCUUGAACAACAACCUUAAUAUGAAUGAAGAAGAAAGCAUUUGAGAAAUUUAAAAGAAAAAACAUAUCUUGUAUUACUAUUGAAAAUGAAAA
rnacentral:lncRNA from 1 species